rnacentral:pre_miRNA from 1 species
GGGCAGUGGACUAUGAACUGUCCAUUUUCAGUUAUCAUGGUACCGGUGCUGUGUGCCUAUCAAGUACAGUACUAUGAUAACUGAAGAUUGGCAGUGCCAUCGCUGUAC